rnacentral:lncRNA from 1 species
CUUCAUCGAAAACAAUCUAGCGAGAAAAGCUCACUGCCAUGCAGUGAAUCAUGUUAUUUUUUGGCAUUUUGAGGUCGUUUAGAUGGCUUUUCAAGCAGUUUAUGAAAUUGAAUUUGUUAUAAAUAUGAAAAAUUAUUCUUUAUAUAUAGGCUAUAUUUGUGUUAAAUGUGAAACAUGUGAUUUAACUUGAUAUGAUAUAUAUGAAGAAUGCAAAUCAUAUGGAUUUAAUCCUAACUACGCCAAAAAUAAUUUAUUUGAAUUUGGUCCAGUUUUGGCGAUCAUGAAUUUCACGAUCUCUGAAUGACCUGAAAUUCAGUAGGAUCGUCGGAAACGGUCAUUUAAGAAGGACUCAGUGCUAUGCAGAAUCACAUCAUAUUUUGACAAUUCGGAAUCGUUUAGAUGACUUUUUUGGAGGUUUGACGGAUUAAAAUGUGAUUUACACACAAAAAGUCAUUCUUU